rnacentral:lncRNA from 1 species
CAUAUAAAAUAAAUAUUGAUAUUUAAAAUUUCAGUCAAUUGUGCAAUAGUGCAUAAAUCAGAGAAUUGUCAAAAAUAAAACUCAUCGCCAUAUGAUAUAAAAUUUAUAUAAAUAAUAAUCAAAACACAUACAGCUUCAGUUAUAAUGUAGUUGAAAACAAAAGGUACAUAAACAUUUAUUUGCCGGCCUGUCAAAAAUAGCUAAAACGUAGCUAUAAAAAUCGUAAUUGUUCAAGAGCUAACAACAGCUGGAAUUAGUUACAAUAUUUAAGGUAUUUUUGGUGAAUUGUAAAGAUAUGUAACUGCUAUCAAAGAAAUCAUAUGAGUUGAUUUAACACACACAUUUUAUUAUCGGACGUCGCUUAUUGGCAUCUCUUCUCAAUAAAUCCCGUAAAUAGAAUUCGCUAGGGAUCCCAUGAACCCAAGCUAAAUUUUCUGCUGACGAAUUCCACUCGAGAUUUGGCUUUGAAUAAAAGGAUUGUGGAUAUACCUUUGUGACUUUGUUUCGAAAGUAUAGAGACGAUGAUGUUUUUAAAAUAUCGAAUAGUAAUACACAUUAUUUAUAGCACAUAUUUAUUUUAUAUUUAUUGGAGGUAAUAAUAUAUAAUAUGCAUUGUGUAUUCUAAAUCAA